ensembl:lncRNA
CAGAUAUCUGAUGUUUUGCUGCUCAGUAAGAAGAUUAAUCCUUAAAGCACAGCUGUGCUUGGAUUGUAUAUUCUGGAUAAAAGCUUCUGCCAAUGGAAAAUGCAACAUUGUGGGAUUUCUUUAUGAAAGGAAUGGGAGCGAAGCAAAGUCGGAGGAAGAGUGAUGGAGCUGGGGCUCCUUCUGAGCAGAAACGUGAUGAUCCUGAGGCUGAGGUGAAACCACACCUGCAGAAGUGGAUAUCACAUCCAGAGAUUUUACUGCACAAGCUGCUGUUAGUGAAGAACCUGAAGAUGUUCUAAACAAAAGCAUGGAGACAGUGGAAGCCAAUAUGGCGUCUGUCAAUGUGGAGGAUCCGACAGAGAUGGUGGCUGCGGUUCCAGACCCUCAAGCCAAGCAUGACUCACUGACGGGUUUGUCCCAAGAGGCUUCAACCAAAAUUGAGCUUUCCAUACCCGAAUCUCCAGCAGACCCCGCCCCCGUCCCAUGUGAGCCUUUAAUCACAGAGGACCUGAGUAUCCCAGAAGCUCCGGAACAUGGUGCAGAAGCCACAGUUGGAGAUGUUGAAGCUUUAGCAAAGGAGAAUAAAGAGAAUUCUGGUCAGGAGGCAUCUGAGACUGAGGAGCUGUUUGUGUGUGUGAAUCAGGAUGAUGCAUAGUCACCAGAUGAACCUCUGAACUGAGAAAGUCUUGAACCCACAACCUUGUACUUUGACCCAUUGGUUGCCCUGGGAGAUGUGGAGCAGGGGGCGAAUGUGACUGUCAGCACGGUCAAUGAACUUUAUAAACCAUGUCAUUGUGUACUGAUAGAAAACAACUGGUACAAGGAUAAUGAGUACAAACAGUGAAGAGAGAGCAAUUAAUAAAUCAUGAGGUUAUUGAUUUAAGUGUUAAUAAUACAAAUAUAUUCUCUGCAAAGCAGUUAUAGUGUUACAGGCCUGAAUGAGCACUGGAUGUAAAACACAAACUCAAGAGAAAAACAAACCGCAAUCCUCAAACGUGUAAUCCGCUUUAUAUAUUAUUUCGACCAGCAACUACUGUUUCUGGAAAAGUUGCAAAAUUGAAUUAAACCCAGUGGAGUAAAUCAUCUCCGAGUGUAUUUUUAUAAACUACAUUCAACAAUCCCAUGACUGAGCUGUUUCAGGAAACGUGUGGAACAAAGCCAAGGAUAUCUGGGAAAGAUGUGGAGUCUCAGUGGACAGAAAAAGAAAAAAAAAACACUUAUUCAGAAUGUAAUGAGAUUUCCAUGUACUGCAUCAAGAUUCC